UAAUGACAUCAGAGAAUCCAAAACAAUGUUCAUAUAUCGGAAGAGCGUAAAACCUUUGUUAAUUUUAAGAAAUUAGUUUGUGGCCCAUUCCACGUUGACUAGGACCAGAGUAUGCUUGAGCCAUAAUGAAGGGCAAAUAAGCAGGUGAAUGCUGAUGCGGUAAAGGCCUCGAGCCUUCAACGUGCCAUGGUGAGAAGCAAAGUAAGAUCAUAAGGAGCAAAAGAAUCACCAUGAGAGUAUGUUGUACAUGAAAGGUGAACAACAUGAGACUGGUACGUUUCAUUUCUAGUUAUUAUGUUUGCGUCUUGUAGUUCCUACUCUUCCUUGGGGGAUUAUAUAUCAUAUAUAUAUAUAUAUAUAGAGAGAGAGAUAAAUGAAGCAUCUCAUGUAUGACAUCAUGUUCUACUUUCUCUGCUUAUCUAGCAGGAAUAAUUAACAUGGGAUAAUGGAUUAUGGAUAUAAUAGUACAAAUUAAUAGAUAUUAUAAUUUAUCACUCAGAUUAGGUACGGCUUUUCGGGACUUGCUAAUUUCCCAAUUACAUGGAAAGAGAGCGCGUUCUUCCC
rnacentral:lncRNA from 1 species